UUUAAAAUCCAGGAAGUUAAGAAGUAAGAUUCUUAACUUACUCCUAAGCAAACAGACAAUAGCUCAGCCCACCUUUGGGGCUGGUCUUAAUUGAUAGGCUCCCAAAACAGGAAGCUGCUAUCCUGAGAUGAAAUCAGAGCGGUACAUUUCUUGUGUUAAUUAUAAAUAUUGAGACACCACUUAACAAGUCUGAACCCCCAGCCCUUUGUCACAUUCCUGAAAAAUCCUUCAAAGGGGGAACUCACAACCUUUCAGUGCGCACAUAUCUCUGAGGUUGCCCGCACUUCGUAAGUGCGUAACCUUUUAACCUUAAACUUUCUCUCUCCAACCUUUCAGGGCGCCUCACCUCCCUGAGAUCGCGUGUACUUUUUCUCAGAAACUUUUACUCUGCUUCUCUACUGUCUCUGCCCUUCAAUUCUUUGUUGCGCCAAGGAACCAAGGAAAAUACACAGUGCCCCCUUAACAGUUACACAACUCUGAGUGUGCUUGAAGCCAUUUAAUUAUACCAUUUAAGUAGGCGAAAUGAAUGGUAUGUAACUUUUAUCUCAACAAAGCUGUGAAAAAGUGAUAAAAACCUGAACUGAUAGGAGGAUGGGGGUGUAAUGAAAAGGAAGGUUGGAGCUGUUAAUCGUAAGAGGCUUUGAGCCUGAGUGACAGAAAACAGGUGGUGUCUUCAAUAGAGAAAUGGACAGAGAUUUACCAAGACUUCCGAGCUGAGAGAACUAUCAGUAAUUCCCUAAACCUAAUAACCAAUCCAUAUUAAAAUUUCCCAAAUUGUCCAAGUGUGGCUUUUAUAGUUUCUUUUUGCUUUUUCUUUUAUUUUAAGAAAAACCAGGAUUAUACAGUGCAUUUGGUUGUUGUGACUGAAAGGGCAAACUCCCAGAUUCUAUUUUAGCCAAUUGAGACCUGGAUCCUACCUCAGCCAAUUGGGACCCAGAUCCUAUUUCACCCAAUCGGAGCUUGGUCUCUCUCCCCUCCAGUCAGCAAGAAGUACACCCACCACCCCUAGACCCUACCAAUUGACCAAAGCCACAACUCAUCACCCCCCAACUACCACAAACCGCCCUGGAAACACAUAAAACCUUUGUUCUGGGGUACACGCGCUCUUUCUCUGGCAUCUUGCCACUGCGUUGGUGUCGAUGAGAGAUUGAGCCAGAGCUAGCUCAAAUAAAGGCUCUUCGCUUUUGCAUCGGUGUUGGCUCCUUGGUGGUCUUCUGGGAUUCGCGACUUUGGGCACAACAUUUGGGGGCUCGUCCGGGAUCCCAGAGACCCCCAGGACCCCCGACCCGGAGAGCCCUGUGCCGGCUGAAAUAUCCAAAUUGUCUUAUAUCAACUCAUAUAAAGCCACAAAACUGCAAAUAGUAAUAGAAAUGAAACCCAGAAUAGAAGCGCCAA